rnacentral:rRNA from 1 species
UACGGAAGGCAGCAGUGGGGAAUAUUGCACAAUGGGCGAAAGCCUGAUGCAGCUAUGCCGCGUGUAUGAAGAAGGCCUUAGGGUUGUAAAGUACUUUCAUCGGGGAGGAAAAACAAAACUAAUAAUUUUAUUUCUUGACGUUACCCGAAAAAGAAGCACCGGCUAACUCCGUGCCAGCAGCCGCGGUAAUACGGAGGGUGCUAGCGUUAAUCAGAAUUACUGGGCGUAAAGAGCACGUAGGUGGUUUUUUUAAGUCAGAUGUGAAAUCCCUGGGCUUAACCUGGAACUGCAUUUUGAAACUGAAAUACUAGAGUAUCGUAGAGGGAGGUAGAAUUCUAGGUGUAGCGGUGAAAUGCGUAGAUAUCUGGAGGAAUACCUGUGGCGAAAGCGGCCUCUAAACGAAUACUGACACUGAGGUGCGAAAGCGUGGGGAGCAAACAGGGAUUAGAUACC